rnacentral:rRNA from 1 species
UACAGAGGGUGCAAGCGUUGUUCGGAAUUAUUGGGCGUAAAGGGAGUGUAGGCUGUCUUGUAAGUCUUCUGUGAAAUCUACGGGCUUAGCCUGUAACGUGCAGAGGAAACUGCGAGGCUUGAGUGUUGGAGAGGACAGUGGAAUUCCCGGUGUAGAAGUGAAAUUCGUAGAGAUCGGGAAGAACACCAGUGGCGAAGGCGACUGUCUGGCUGACAACUGACGCUGAGACUCGAAAGCAUGGGGAGCAAACAGG